rnacentral:rRNA from 1 species
CAGCCGCCACGGGAAUACGUAGGGUGCAAGCGUUAAUCGGAAUUACUGGGCGUAAAGCGUGCGCAGGCGGUGUUGUAAGACUGAUGUGAAAUCCCCGGGCUCAACCUGGGAACUGCAUUGGUGACUGCAACGCUGAGUGCGGCAGAGGGGGAUGGAAUUCCGCGUGUAGCAGUGAAAUGCGUAGAUAUGCGGAGGAACACCGAUGGCGAAGGCAAUCCCCUGGGCCUGCACUGACGCUCAUGCACGAAAGCGUGGGGAGCAAACAGGAUUAGAUACCCGUGUAGUCCCUGUCUCUUAUACA